UAACAAAUUUUUCUAAUUCAUUAAAACGAAAUACUUGUUACAGAAGUGAGGAGAACCAGGUUUGCUAGAAUAACUAUGGUGAUAGAAAUGUAUUAACCUCAAAACUACUGAGGUGGCCCACUCUAUCCUAGUAGUGUA